rnacentral:rRNA from 1 species
UGAGGAAUAUUGGUCAAUGGACGCAAGUCUGAACCAGCCAUGCCGCGUGCAGGAAGACGGCUCUAUGAGUUGUAAACUGCUUUUGUACUAGGGUAAACUCAGAUACGCGUAUCUGACUGAAAGUAUAGUACGAAUAAGGACCGGCUAACUCCGUGCCAGCAGCCGCGGUAAUACGGAGGGUCCAAGCGUUAUCCGGAUUUAUUGGGUUUAAAGGGUGCGUAGGCGGUUAGAUAAGUUAGAGGUGAAAUACCGGUGCUUAACACCGGAACUGCCUCUAAUACUGUUUAGCUAGAGAAUAGUUGCGGUAGGCGGAAUGUAUGGUGUAGCGGUGAAAUGCUUAGAGAUCAUACAGAACACCGAUUGCGAAGGCAGCUUACCAAGCUAUUUCUGACGUUGAGGC